rnacentral:snRNA from 1 species
GGAUGUGAGGGCGAUAUGGCCAUGACAUCUGUCACCCCAUUGACUGCCAGGGUUGAUUCGGCUGAUCUGGCUGGCCAGGCGGGUACUCCCUGCCUCCCUCACUGCUUCAUGUGCUUCCUUCCCAAAGCUGUCCUCUAGGUGCAAGAGGACAACCACCCCCGAUGGGGGAGGACCAUUUCCUCAGUCAAGGGCAUGUGUGCUCCCCAGCUCGAACCUCCAGACAAGCUCUCAAAGUAAACUACCACUGGAUUUUCCAUAUAUAUGAAUCAAUAAAUACCUCCUCAUUUCUUUCGAGAGGUUUCUAA